UCCCCUGCUCCCUGCGGUCCGCUCCCACGUGCCCCCAGCACCUUCCACGCGCCUCACCACCUCACAACCACUUCCUCAGUGCGCCGCUCCCUGACUGCUCGCCCUGCCUGCACCACAUCAGUGUGCGCGCUCGCUGCCGCUGCAGGCAGACGGAGCUCAGCAAGAACCCGCAGCGCGGAACUGCAAUACUCGCUUUUCCUAAAGAGAGGCUGGGCUCCUUCCUGAUCCGGAUUUCGUCACCUUCCCCCUGCUCACUUGAAAACCACGGGCUUGAGCAAUGCGGAGCCCCCGGCAGUCGGAUCUUCAGAGCAUCACUAUAGGGCUUAGCUCCCUUGCCACAGCCCACCCUCUUCCCUGGAAGGACGGAGUGUUCUACUGUGGAAACGACUUACCGGGGUCUCUUCAUCUUCCUGAUAUAUGGGGUGUACAACCCAGAGGGCUGCUGCACCUGGCUCCCACGCGCCUGCCUUUUCCGGUAGCCUGCAGGUAGGUUGGCAGUCACUCAAUUUUUUUUUUUUUUUUUGCAACGGUCCCUCCAUUGCGGUUUCCAAGUGGGUUCCUCCUACAAACAGACACGACGCCUUAUUAGUGUUUGCAAACGAAAAGGUGAUCAAC